rnacentral:rRNA from 1 species
GACGAACGCUGGCGGCACGCUUAACACAUGCAAGUCGAACGAGAGAAGAGAAGCUUGCUUUUCUGAUCUAGUGGCGGACGGGUGAGUAACGCGUGAGCAAUCUGCCUUUCAGAGGGGGAUACCGAUUGGAAACGAUCGUUAAUACCGCAUAAUAUAAUUGAACCGCAUGAUUUGAUUAUCAAAGAUUUAUCGCUGAAAGAUGAGCUCGCGUCAGAUUAGCUAGUUGGUAAGGUAACGGCUUACCGAGGCGACGAUCAGUAGCCGGACUGAGAGGUUGAUCGGCCACAUUGGGACUGAGACACGGCCCAGACUCCUACGGGAGGCAGCAGUGGGGAAUAUUGCACAAUGGAGGAAACUCUGAUGCAGCGAUGCCGCGUGAGGGAAGAAGGUUUUAGGAUUGUAAACCUCUGUCUUCAGGGACGAAAAAAGACGGUACCUGAGGAGGAAGCUCCGGCUAACUACGUGCCAGCAGCCGCGGUAAUACGUAGGGAGCGAGCGUUGUCCGGAAUUACUGGGUGUAAAGGGAGCGUAGGCGGGAUCGCAAGUCAGAUGUGAAAACUAUGGGCUUAACCCAUAAACUGCAUUUGAAACUGUGGUUCUUGAGUGAAGUAGAGGUAAGCGGAAUUCCUAGUGUAGCGGUGAAAUGCGUAGAUAUUAGGAGGAACAUCAGUGGCGAAGGCGGCUUACUGGGCUUUAACUGACGCUGAGGCUCGAAAGCGUGGGGAGCAAACAGGAUUAGAUACCCUGGUAGUCCACGCCGUAAACGAUGAUUACUAGGUGUGGGGGGACUGACCCCUUCCGUGCCGCAGCAAACGCAAUAAGUAAUCCACCUGGGGAGUACGACCGCAAGGUUGAAACUCAAAGGAAUUGACGGGGGCCCGCACAAGCAGUGGAGUAUGUGGAUUAAUUCGAAGCAACGCGAAGAACCUUACCAGGUCUUGACAUCGUAUGCAUAGCUCAGAGAUGAGUGAAAUCUCUUCGGAGACAUAUAGACAGGUGGUGCAUGGUUGUCGUCAGCUCGUAUCGUGAGAUGUUGGGUUAAGUCCCGCAACGAGCGCAACCCUUACUGUUAGUUGCUACGCAAGAGCACUCUAGCAGGACUGCCGUUGACAAAACGGAGGAAGGUGGGGAUGACGUCAAAUCAUCAUGCCCCUUAUGACCUGGGCCUCACACGUACUACAAUGGCUGUCAACAGAGGGAAGCAAAGCCGCGAGGUGGAGCGAACCCCUAAAAGCAGUCUUAGUUCGGAUUGUAGGCUGCAACCCGCCUACAUGAAGUCGGAAUUGCUAGUAAUCGCAGAUCAGCAUGCUGCGGUGAAUACGUUCCCGGGCCUUGCACU